UGUGUAUGUCUUCUAAUUUGGAGAUAGCUGAAGGACUGACUCAGGGUGCUCAUCAUUGUUUUGCAUACUUUGAGAAUUAGAAAAAGUGGCAGGCACUGCUUAUAAAACUAGGUGACUACAGGCUCAGACACCUGGGGCAGGUAGAGAAGAAAUCAUGAAAAGCCAAGAGAAGCUACGGUGAGAUUUUAGGGAAAUUGGACCUUCAAAAGCAGUUGUAUACGGGGGUAAUUUGGAAUGCCACAUGCAUGCCCAGGCAAAACAUGUGCUCAGGAAAGAUCAAAAGAACUAAAGCUUUCACCUUGGUGUGAUCCCUAGGCUCGCAGCAAACCUCCCUAUGUGAUGCAGAAGUGCCCCACUACCGUGCUAAUCUAAAGCCAAGGAAAACGGGGAUUCAAGGAAAUCUGCCAAAACAUCUUGAACAUGAGUUAAAAGGAAAUGAGACUUAAAUGAGCACGCUUUACAAGAAAUAGUCUUUGUAAAGGUAAAACAGUUGAAAAAGUCUCAAAACAUGAACAAAUCUGUGAAACUCCCAGGGAUGGGGAGACUCAUAUUCAGAAUGACCAUUUAUAAUGAAAUGCCCAAUUGUCAAAAAAUUGCAAGGCAUACAAAGAAACAGAGAAAUGGCCAAUUUAAAGGAACAAAUGGCCCUGAGGAAGCUCAAACACUGAACUUUAGACAAAAGACUUAAUUAUAUGCAACUAAAGGAAAUCAGGAAAAUGAUUAAGAUGAGAAAAUCAACAAUUUUAAAGGAACAAUUCUGGAGGAGAAAGGCACAAUAACAUUUGCACUGGAGAGGUUCCAGAGCAGAUUUGAGGAGGCAAAAGAAAUCAAACUUGAAAACAGAAGUUGUUUUGUCUAAGAAGUAGAAACAAAAGUAACCAACCUAAGGGACUUGUAAGAUCCCAUUAAGUGGAAAAAGGAAUGCAUUGGGAAUCCCAGAAGGAAAAAAAGCUGCAUGGAGAUUAUUUGAAAAAAAUAAGGGCAAAACUUGCCAAUUUGAUGCAAGGUAUAAAGGUACAAUAUCAAGAAACUUGAUGAAUUCCAAAUAGGGUAAAGCCAAAAGAGAUGCACCAAGACACUAAUCAAACUAACCAAAGCUAAAGCCAAGGAAUCUUGAAAGCAGUAAGGAUGAAGAGACUCAUCACAUAAAAGGGAUCUUCAGUAGAUUAUCAGAUUCCUUAGCAGAAAUCUUGGGGGCCAAAUGCCCAUAACUGUUAAAAGAAAAAAAAAAAAAGGCAACCAAGAAUCUGGCAAAACUGUUCUUCAAAAAUGGAGAGAUUAAAAUACUACCAGAUAAAAAUCCUGAAAAAGACUGAUACAACUAGACCUGCCCUGUAAGAAAUGCUAAAUUAUGGAGAUCCUCAGGUUGAAGUGAAAGGACAAUGGACAGGAGCUAGAAGCCAUAUGAAGAAAUAAAGUACACAUAAGCAAUUACAAAA